rnacentral:rRNA from 1 species
GAUCCUGGCUCAGAAUGAACGCUGGCGGCAUGGAUUAGGCAUGCAAGUCGAACGUGCUCCCUUCGGGGAGAAAGUGGCGAAAGGGUGAGUAACACGUGAGCAACCUGCCUCCGGAUCCGGAAUAAUCCAGGGAAACUUGGUCUAAAACCGGAUGAAGACAUUGGGCCGCAUGGUCUGGUGUUAAAAUAUUUAUAGUCCGGAGAGGGGCUCGCGGCCCAUUAGCUUGUUGGCGGGGUAAUGGCCCACCAAGGCUACGACGGGUAGGUGGUCUGAGAGGAUGGUCACCCACACUGGGACUGAGACACUGCCCAGACUCCUACGGGAGGCUGCAGUCGAGAAUCUUCCGCAAUGGGCGCAAGCCUGACGGAGCGAUGCCGCGUGAGGGAUGAAGGCCUUCGGGUUGUAAACCUCUGUCAUCCGGGACGAAAACAAUGACGGUACCGGAAAAGGAAGCCACGGCUAACCACGUGCCAGCAGCGGC